rnacentral:sRNA from 1 species
GCGAGAUCUAAAGGCUGGAGUCCUUUAUCUAAACAACAGGUACAGCGUGAUCGUUGACAGUGCAAGCUUCCCUGUGCUGCCCUGCCACUGUGCCUCAACUUGGAGAAAACUGCUUCUGGAGGUGGGGGGAAGGUAGUUCAGCCUCCAUGCCCAUUCAGCCCUUGGCCUCU